AAGGGGAGCUUUAUAGACCCAAAAAAUAAGAAUUCUAAGUAAUUAUGAUAUUACAAACUGCGUUUUUAGUAUGUUAACAUUUCCAACAAGCUUCCAAAUCUGUACGACUAUUGAGAGAGCUAAAGCUAUGUUUUAGUAACCAAGUCCAUAUUAUAAUCGCAGCUCUAGUGCUAUCACAAAGUGUAUCAGAUAUGAUGCUUUACCGAAUUCAGUGCAAGCAUUCUCACAAUCGGUACAAUCCCACCACGAUAAUUCUAUGAUAAUAAAAGUAUCGUUAUAAACGUAUUAUUUUAACGUUAAUACUGCGAUAUGUCAUCAUUUGAACUGUAACACACGUCUCCUGCGCACGCGUAUACAGUGUACGACAACGUUCAUUAUAUUAUUCAGACCACGAAACACAAUCAAAAUGUUCAAAUACGUCUAUCUGAUCGUAUGCGUAUUAUGUCUGUUCUACGUGCUUGCUGCUGUCUAUGUGCUGUUUACCGAUUUAAUAUUGGAUCCGUUGUACGGUUAUUUGUUCGCCAGAAGUUAGGGUAUUUCUAUCGCAAACGCCGACAUAUUCAAACCGUCCAUAUAACGUUCUGUAUUAUUAUUAGAACGUAGGUACCAGACUUGUACUACUCCCGAUGGACGUUACUAUUAUAAUAUCACGACCAAGUAAUAGGUAUUCAUAUCUCAUAUUAUGACCAGAUGGACCGCGCACCAACACAAUGGACAAAGGGACUAUACUGUCACUAUCAUUUAAACUAUUUGUUUAUGGCUUAUUAAUAAAAUCGCUAAAAACCGUUGAGGGCUUCCUAUAUAAUUUUGCAUAUUUAAUGGACUGAAACUAAAUUUGGAAUGAUUCAAAAAGAAGAAAAUCAGCUGGUUAACAAAAAUGGUAUCAAACAGUUAUGCAGUUACAUAUAUGAUAUAUCAAAAUAUGAAAAUUGGUAAUUUAACAUAUAAUUUAUAUUAUUACUUUUAUU